AGCAGUCGCCGCGGGAAUACAGAGGGUGCGAGCGUUAAUCGGAUUUACUGGGCGUAAAGCGUGCGUAGGCGGCUAAUUGAGUCGGAUGUGAAAUCCCCGAGCUUAACUUGGGAAUUGCAUUCGAUACUGGUUAGCUAGAGUGUGGGAGAGGAUGGUAGAAUUCCAGGUGUAGCGGUGAAAUGCGUAGAGAUCUGGAGGAAUACCGAUGGCGAAGGCAGCCAUCUGGCCUAACACUGACGCUGAGGUACGAAAGCAUGGGGAGCAAACAGGAUUAGAUACCCGAGUAGUCCCUGUCUCUUAUAA
rnacentral:rRNA from 1 species